GCUUGGGUGGCUCAGUUGGUUGGGCAUCCGACUUCAGCUCGGGUCAUAAUCUCACAGUCCGUGGGUUCGAGCCCCGCGUCGAGCU
rnacentral:tRNA from 1 species